AACGAACGCUGGCGGCAUGCCUAACACAUGCAAGUCGAACGAAGCCUUCGGGCUUAGUGGCGCACGGGUGCGUAACACGUGGGAAUCUGCCCUUAGGUACGGAAUAACUCAGGGAAACUUGAGCUAAUACCGUAUGAUGUCUUCGGACCAAAGAUUUAUCGCCUAAGGAUGAGCCCGCGUCGGAUUAGCUAGUUGGUGGGGUAAAGGCCUACCAAGGCGACGAUCCGUAGCUGGUCUGAGAGGAUGAUCAGCCGCACUGGGACUGAGACACGGCCCAGACGCCGAGUGGAGGCAGCAGUGGGGAAUAUUGCGCAAUGGGCGAAAGCCUGACGCAGCCAUGCCGCGUGAAUGAUGAAGGUCUUAGGAUUGUAAAAUUCUUUCACCGGGGACGAUAAUGACGGUACCCGGAGAAGAAGCCCCGGCUAACUUCGUGCCAGCAGCCGCCGUAAGAC
rnacentral:rRNA from 1 species